rnacentral:rRNA from 1 species
AUGAACGCUGGCGGCGUGCUUAACACAUGCAAGUCGAACGAAGCACUUAUCUUUGAUUCUUCGGAUGAAGAGGUUUGUGACUGAGUGGCGGACGGGUGAGUAACGCGUGGGUAACCUGCCUCAUACAGGGGGAUAACAGUUAGAAAUGACUGCUAAUACCGCAUAAGACCACGGAGCUGCAUGGCUCAGUGGGAAAAACUCCGGUGGUAUGAGAUGGACCCGCGUCUGAUUAGGUAGUUGGUGGGGUAACGGCCUACCAAGCCGACGAUCAGUAGCCGACCUGAGAGGGUGACCGGCCACAUUGGGACUGAGACACGGCCCAAACUCCUACGGGAGGCAGCAGUGGGGAAUAUUGCACAAUGGGGGAAACCCUGAUGCAGCGACGCCGCGUGAGCGAAGAAGUAUUUCGGUAUGUAAAGCUCUAUCAGCAGGGAAGAAAAUGACGGUACCUGACUAAGAAGCACCGGCUAAAUACGUGCCAGCAGCCGCGGUAAUACGUAUGGUGCAAGCGUUAUCCGGAUUUACUGGGUGUAAAGGGAGCGUAGACGGCUGUGUAAGUCUGAAGUGAAAGCCCGGGGCUCAACCCCGGGACUGCUUUGGAAACUAUGCAGCUAGAGUGUCGGAGAGGUAAGUGGAAUUCCCAGUGUAGCGGUGAAAUGCGUAGAUAUUGGGAGGAACACCAGUGGCGAAGGCGGCUUACUGGACGAUGACUGACGUUGAGGCUCGAAAGCGUGGGGAGCAAACAGGAUUAGAUACCCUGGUAGUCCACGCCGUAAACGAUGACUACUAGGUGUCGGGGAGCAAAGCUCUUCGGUGCCGCAGCAAACGCAAUAAGUAGUCCACCUGGGGAGUACGUUCGCAAGAAUGAAACUCAAAGGAAUUGACGGGGACCCGCACAAGCGGUGGAGCAUGUGGUUUAAUUCGAAGCAACGCGAAGAACCUUACCAAGGCUUGACAUAUACAGGAAUAUUUAAGAGAUUAAAUAGCUCUUCGGAGUCUGUAUACAGGUGGUGCAUGGUUGUCGUCAGCUCGUGUCGUGAGAUGUUGGGUUAAGUCCCGCAACGAGCGCAACCCUUAUCUUCAGUAGCCAGCAAUUCGGAUGGGCACUCUGGAGAGACUGCCAGGGAUAACCUGGAGGAAGGUGGGGAUGACGUCAAAUCAUCAUGCCCCUUAUGAGCAGGGCUACACACGUGCUACAAUGGCGUAAACAAAGGGAAGCGAGCCUGCGAGGGUAAGCAAAUCUCAAAAAUAACGUCUCAGUUCGGAUUGUAGUCUGCAACUCGACUACAUGAAGCUGGAAUCGCUAGUAAUCGCGAAUCAGCAUGUCGCGGUGAAUACGUUCCCGGGUCUUGUACACACCGCCCGUCACACCAUGGGAGUUGGUAACGCCCGAAGUCAGUGACCCAACCGUAAGGAGGGAGCUGCCGAAGGUGGGACCGAUAACUGGGGUG